rnacentral:rRNA from 1 species
UCAAGCUACUAAGGGCAUACGGCGGAUGCCUAGGCGCCAUCAGCCGAUGAAGGACGCGGUAAGCUGCGAAAAGCUACGGGGAACUGCAAGCAAGUAUUGAUCCGUAGAUGUCCGAAUGGGGAAACCCACCUGCCGUCAUGGGCAGGUAUCCGAAAGGAAGGGAACCCGGGGAACUGAAACAUCUAAGUACCCGGAGGAAGAGAAAUCAAACGAGAUGCCCACAGUAGCGGCGAGCGAAGAGGGCAGAGGGCAAACCGGGGAGCUACGGCUCUUCGGGGUUGAGGACUGCAUUUAGUCUUAAUGGUCUAUCCGAACUACCUGGAAAGGUAGGCAACACAGUGUAAAAGCCACGUAGGUUAAAGACCAGAGAGAUGAGCAGUAUCCAGAGUACCACGAGGCACGAGGAAUCUUGUGGGAAGCCGGGGGGACCACCCUCCAACCCUAAACACUGAAUGGCGACCGAUAGCGCAUAGUACCGUGAGGGAAAGGUGAAAAGAACCCCGGGAGGGGAGUGAAAGAGAACCUGAAACCGUAUGUCUACAAGCAGUCGGAGCGAAAGCGACGGCGUGCCUAUUGAAGAAUGAACCAACGAGUUACGUGCACUAGCGAGGUUAAGUGGAAGACACGGAGCCGAAGCGAAAGCGAGUCUUAAGAGGGCGGAUAGUUAGUGUACGUAGACCCGAAACCGCAGUGAUCUACCCAUGUCCAGGUUGAAGCGCAGGUAAAAUUGCGUGGAGGACCGAACCUGUGAGCGUUGAAAAGCUUUAGGAUGAGAUGUGGGUAGAGGUGAAAUUCCAAUCGAACGCGGAGAUAGCUGGUUCUCCCCGAAAUAGCUUUAGGGCUAGCCUCAAGUAGUAAGUAUAGGCGGUAGAGCACUGAUCGGGCUAGGGGCCAUAAAGGUUACCGAACCCUGUCAAACUCCGAAUGGUUAUACUGUAGAGCUUGGGAGUCAGACUACGAGUGAUAAGAUCCGUGGUCAAAAGGGAAACAGCCCAGACCACCAGCUAAGGUCCCCAAUGUCGUACUAAGUGGAAAAGGAUGUGGGGUCUCUAAAACAACCAGGAUGUUGGCUUAGAAGCAGCCACCAUUUAAAGAGUGCGUAAUAGCUCACUGGUCGAGAGACCCUGCGCCGAAGAUUACCGGGGCUAAAGUACGAAACCGAAGCUGUGGCUAUGACGUAAGUCGUGGGGUAGGGGAGCGUUCUGUGAGGGCUGAAGUUGUUCUGUAAGGAACGGUGGACUUCACAGAAGUGAGAAUGUUGGUAUGAGUAGCGAAAAGAAUGGUGAGAAUCCAUUCCACCGAAAGCAUAAGGAUUCCUGGGCAACGAUCGUCGUCCCAGGGUAAGUCGGGACCUAAUCCGAGGCAUGGAGCGUAGGAGAUGGACAACUGGCAGAUAUUCCAGUACCGGUAAUGAUUGUUUGAGCGAUGGAGUGACACAGGAGGGCAGGCAGGCAGGAGAUUGGUUGUUCCUGUACAAGCGUGUAGGGUGGAACGCAGGCAAAUCCGCGUUCUGAGAGCCUGAGGCGUGAUGUGGAGGUUCCGGAAACGGAACUGAAGCUGCUGACCCCACACUGUCGAGAAAAGCUUCUAGUUAGAGAAUUACCGCCCGUACCGUAAACCGACACAGGUAUGCGGGGAGAGAAUCCUAAGGUGCGCGGGAGAACCCUCGUUAAGGAACUCGGCAAAAUGUACCCGUAACUUCGGGAUAAGGGUAGCCGCUGUUGUGAAGUCUGUACAGACGGAGCAUGAGGCGGUCGCAGAGAAGAGGCCCAAGCGACUGUUUACCACAAACACAGGUGCCUGCUAAAGAGAAAUCUGACGUAUAGGUGCUGACACCUGCCCAGUGCCGGAAGGUUAAGGAAGGAUGUCCGGAGCAAUCCAAAGCAUUCGACCGAAGCCCCGGUGAACGGCGGCCGUAACUAUAACGGUCCUAAGGUAGCGAAAUUCCUUGUCGGGUAAG